ACAAAAUCAACCAACGACUUCAAUACCAACAGUCCGGCGAAACCCAUCCUCGAACAAUACCGGCAACCUGUCAAAUCUGAAGAACCAACCAAUUCCAGCAAAAAACUCAACUCCGACCCAAACUCGUUCAGGUUCAAAUCGAAUUCGAUUCAAUCCAAUGACAAUGGCCCUUAAAUCAUGAAAAUCUCUCUUUUUUCAUCUUAUCUCAGAAUUUUGUAGACCUCGAACCUCGAUAUUUAACUUUAGUUCAAGAUGGGUGUGCUCUUUACUCCAAAAUCUCAUCCAAAUCAGAAGCAUCACAAUUAAUCCGAAUUUGUGGGAUAUGUUUUCACUCCCUUUUUCAACUUUUUAUCAAAUUCCCAACCACUUUCUAUCACUAAAACAGACUCUAUUUUGAAUUUUAAUGGAGAUUUUUUCGAUACAAAUAGGAGCGGAUGCUUUCGUUUGAAGGGAUUCUUAGAGGAAUUUUUGGUGAAAAAUUAGGGAUUUUGAAGGAGGGUUUCUUUAAUCCUAUGUAAUCAAGAAUUUCAGAAGAAACUAAUUCAAAACUCGAUCCCAAUGAAAAUUGAACUCCUACAAAUCGGAGUCGAAAGUCCGAUGGUGAAAGCUCCGUCGUGAUAGGCUCUUCUGUCCCGGUUUGCUGCCCUUAAAAAGGUAAACACCUUUUUCUUUCAGUUUUUGUUUUAUAAUUAUUUCCUUAUUAGCUUCAUCGUAAUCGUAAUUGUUGGGACUGUUCGCUUUAGAAAUCUAGGAUUUUAUUGUAUUUUUCUUGCUGUGUUGAUAAUCUAGACUCCAAUGUGAAUGAAAUAGUAUGUAUUGAUUAAAUCUCGAAGAUCACAUCUUUGCCUUGUGUUCACUGUUUGUACGUUGUAUGUAACUGUCUUGGCUUUGUAUUAAAUACGUUGUCAUUUUGAAAUCUAUCCUCUAGUGAUCAAGUUCCAAUAUAAACCGAGGGCUACAUUUUUUCUUCAAUUGGAAAAGUAUGUAGUAUAAUUUUACUUUGGCAUAAGAUGGAGUUGGUAUAGUUUAACGAACCCAUUUCCCAAAUAUUCACUUUAGAUGUCUUAUGUUGAGUAUUUUAGAAUAGUGGAGUUCUAGAAGUAAUAUAAAUAUGUAGCAAUCCUUUCCAUAUCAACAUGUGGGGUUAAGGAUGAUUGUGCAUUUUUGUGACUAACAUUUUGCUGUUAGUUUUCUUAUUUUCUGCUCUAUUCUUCUCUUUAUUGUAUAUGUAUGUUUAAAAAUUGAAAGGAGAUUUUUCAUGCAUUCUUGAUAUCUCCAGAAAGCAAAUAACCUUUGAAAUGUUUCUCCAGACGUAACAUAUCUACAGUUUGUCAUACUAUACUGUUGAAAAUGUGAAAAGUUUGAAGAUCUAUGGAAUGUAAAUGUUAAGUUGUUAAAUUGGUCUUGUGGCUUUGUUUCAAUUCUCAUAGUAUCUUCUUUGGUGUUUGAAAUACCUAUUCUCCUAGUUUUGUUUCAAUUCUCAAAAUAUAUGCUUUGGUGUUUGAAUUAUAUGGAUUAAGCUUGAGUUCUUCCACUUUGGGAUAAAUUAUUUUGAACUUCGGAUAAAUAUUUUGAACUUUGUAUUAAGCUUUGAGUUCUUUCACUCUGGAUAAAUUCUCAUGGUAUCUUCUUUGGUGUUUGAAAUACCUAUUUUCCUUCGUUCUUUCACUUUGAAUAAAUUAUUUUGAACUUAUAAUAAUUUGGUGUAUUUUUCUUGAUGCACGCAAUUCCAUUGAGUCCAUUGGACUCCAUUCUCCCCCCUUGGCAUUUAUGGGACCAAAUCCCACUUCUCCGAGUCAAAACUUCAUGCCGAAGUCCCAAAAAAUGAACCAAAGGACAAGAAAAAAGGUUGGUAUACACAUGUAUACAGCUGAUAUACGUUGGAAGCGGCAGCUGCCCUCUAUUACACCAUGCACAAUAAAAAAUAGAGGGGAAAUAAGCAGGUUUUCACGCUGAUAUACACUGUAUAUGCAGUGAUAUACAGUAAAACGCGAAGAAAAUUGGGACUGAUAUACAUCCUGGAAAUGGAUCCAAAGUCCACAAAAGAAUAUAGCCCAAGGCUGAACAAAUCAUAAUGGGCCAAAAGCCCAAUCCAAGGUUCUUUUUAUUUACUAAAAUUUACAUAUAUACACAAGGUAAAGUUACCUUAUUAAUCCCAAUUUGGUAAAGUAAUUACAUAAAUUCCAAAGUAAUUACUUAAAUCCCUUCCUUUUUUACUUUCUCUCUCAUAUACCUUAUACAUCCAAAAACACACUGAUUUCUUCCCUUUUUUGCUCCAUUACACACCCAUUUUUUCUCCAUUUUUGAAACUUAUUUUCACGCCUAAAUUCAAGCAACGUAUACUUAGAGGUUACCAAUUUGUAAGUUUUCAAGCAUUAAUUUAUCUUUCUGAUUUACUUCAUUAAUUUUUGGAAAAAAAAAUUUCAACUUUACCAAAUCAGGAUAUUUUUCCGAAUCUUCUUUGGUUGCAUGUUGUUUUGUAUGAAAUUACCGUCUGUUGCAAUCAUAUUUAAGUUUUGUAAUUUGAUUUUAUCAAUUUUUUUCCAUAAACUACAAGUUAGAUCUUUGAAUUUCUUGGUUUGUAGUUGCUACUGCUUAAUCAAUAUAGUGUAAAAUUCAUAAUGGAUUCUCGUUUUACCUUUAGUUUAGGAUUUAGUCUGUUAGAUGCUCAGGAAUAAGAUAUUGUUGUUGUUAUAUUUGAUUACGAAGAACCCAAUUUUGCAGAGAAUCGUUCCAAGCACUAAAACGAUUCGGUAACCAUGAAGAAAUUGAAGAAAGUGGCAAGUUCUAGUUCAAAGAAAUCAGCUUCAAAAUCGACUAGUAAGAAGAAGGUUGAUGUGGCAAGUUUUAGUUCGAAGAAGUCAGCUUCAAAAUCGACUAGUAAGAAGAAGGUUGAUGGGUCCGGUCGACCAUGUCUUCCGAAGGUAUUCAAUUUAUAUUAUUUGAUUUAAUACAGUAAAUGGUUAAUUAUGAUUUGAUAAUUGUAUUCUAGGAUUAUACAGUAUGCAUACCUUAUAUAGUUUGUAAGAUUAAUGUGUUCAGUCAAUUCACUUAUGAAUACAUUAUACAUUACUUUAGUUGUCAGACUAAUGUAUAAUAUAAGUUUUGUGCUUUAUAUUUUAUUAGAUUAUACAAUAAGAAAUUUUAUUACACAAAUGAGGCAGUUUUGUAUUAAGUGGAAUUAUACUUUGUGAAUGUCUGCAUAUUGUAUAAGGGUACAUUAUACAUUCUAAUAAUCUUGUAGUUAAUUCAUGUAUUAGGUGAAUAAUUUAUGUUUUAUAUGUAUAGUGUGUCAGUAUACAUGAUGCAAGAUCAUAUUUGAAUGUAUAAUUUAAGACAUAUCAGGCAUUAUACAUUAGUUAAAAAGUCUUCAUAUUGUAAAAGGUUACAUUAUACAUUCUCAAAAGCUUAUAGGUUAUACAUGUUGAAUGUUAAUACUUAAUAGGCAUAGUACCACAUUAUACAUUACUGCAGAUUAUUAUUUAAAUGUAUAAUGUACCCUCAUACAUGUGCAAUUGUUGUAUAAUGUUAUCUUUAACACGUAUCAGUUUGCUAUUUUUUUCCUCUAUUAAUUUGAAAAUACCUUUAUUUUUUCAGGGGAUGAUAUACCGUAUUGACACAGUCCCGGCUCAUCCGUUGUAUAUUGAUAGCUUAUGUAACCGUACUUUUGGUGAAGACAUAAAGGCAUAUUUUUUAGAAGAUAUUUUAGGAGCAUUUACAAAUACAAUUUUUGGGAUAUUUCUCGAUUCGUCUCAAUGCAAUUGGAUAAGAAAGAUUUCAAAAUGUCUCCUUAUGCUAGAAAUCCAACAAGAUAAUAAGGACAAGAUUCAUGUGCGGGUGCAGGGGAACAUCCUGAAAUUUAUGAUGCUUGAAUUUGCCAUCAUUACCGGUCUUAAAUAUACCAGUAAUAUUGAUGAGUAUAUGUAUUCUUCAUCGCCAAAAUUAGCUUUGAUCUUGAAGUAUUUUUCCGACGUUGUAGGUGGAAUAACUAGGUCAAAACUUAUAACACGUGUGAAGAUGGGAAACUUCGAUAACUCUGAACCUUGCGAUAUUAUAUUUUGUUCAUACAUUUGUAUUUUCUCAGCAUCGUGAAUCACCUAUCAGUUUAGCUCACUUCCAGAUGAUCGAGUAUGGUUGGUACAGACAUUUUCCAUAGGAAAAUAUUACAUUUGAAAAGUUGAUGAACUCCUAGCGGCAGGAUUUCAAAGUUGAAAAACAGUUAUAUUCAUUGGUAGGGAUGGAAAUAGUGCGGUGCGGUGUGGGUUUUGAGCUAUACGGGGUGCUGCAGGUUUUAAGUUAUACGGUGCGGGGUGGGUUAAAGUAAGAUUUUUUUUAAUGGUGCGGUGCGGUGCGGGUUAUGGGUAUAUGCAGGUUUAAAUUAAAAUAAAGCUAAAAAUUAGCAUUGUUCUCGUGAAUAUACCUAAAAUUGUAUGUAUUAUUUACUUAAAAUUUUAUAAUAUUUAAAACGACAUGUAUAACACUACAAAUAAAUAAUUUUAUAGUAGCUUUUUUAACAUCUCUAUUCAUUUUUAUAAAAAUAUGAUUACUUGUACACGUUAUACUUUUUGACAAUUUUUUAGUGAAAAGUGAUACAAUAGAAAUUAGUUAUUAUUUCCUAGUUGUAGAUUUGAAAAUAUUAUGAUUUUCAAUGGAGUUAUAAUUUUUUCAAAAAAAAAAGAUAAAAAAUUAAAAACAUGCAUGGGGCGGUGCGGUGCGGUUAUGCACGGAUAUGAAUGUGGGGCAGAUUUAUGCGGGUUUAAAGGUGAUGCGAUGCGGUGCGGUGUGGUUUUAAAAUUUGAGGGUUUAGAAAAAACCCGCACCGCACCAUUGCCAUCCCUAUUUAUUGGGCGGAGUGCCAGACAUUCUAAAUAUUUGGAUGUUUGAGUGUUGUUCUGAGGUAGAUUAAAAAACUGCUUUGUGAUGAAGAAACAUCAUCCCAAGAAUAUUUUACUGGUCUGUGGAGUGUACGAGGCCUAAGUAUGACUCUUUUAUGUCUGGCACAUUCAGUAAGGUAAUUGUAUAACAUGUUAAUUAUUAUCAUUUUCAAGUCAUUUUAUUGAAGUGCUAAUAUUUUAUUUUGGAAUUCAUUUUUCAGUAGUCUUACAAGAAUUUACAACCUACAAAAGAAAUAGUUCGUAGGUUGAAUUUGUCUUUUUUUUUAAGAUUUUGAGAUAUUUGAUCCAACAUCUGCUACUUUCACAUCCGCUUCUCGAAUGUUGAAAAGGUCAGCUGAUGAAGAUCAACCGCUUAUUGUUACUGCAGCUGAAGAUUUUGAUGAUUUCAGCACUAUACCACCACAAAAAAUUCUAAUAAAGGUUGAUUUAGCUUCACCUUUAUCACCUAAACAAGCAUCGAAAAGAAGAAAGACAGUUAUAUUUCAGGAAGAUAGUCCAGGAGUGACGGAUGAAGAGAAAUCUACACGUGCUCAUGCAGUACAUCAUGUGUCUGGUUUGUUUUCAAAAAAUCAGGAGGAUUCAACAGAUAAAGGAGAAACUGGUGUGUUUGAAUUUGACCACUGUCAUUAAGGAGAAAUUGGUGUGUCUCCUGACCGUGACCAAGUAAAGUUUGUUCCUUCAUCUUCCAUAAUGUCUGAAGGGACUUCUAAGUUAACUUUAGAUAUGGAUGAGAUAAAGACUUACAACAACUACUAUGUAAGUUAACUUUCUUAUUGACUAUUUUUGUAUUUAAAAAGCAUUACGUGUUUCUAAUAUAUUAUUUUUUCUGUACAUUAUAAGGUUGAUAAAAAGAUUGCUGAGCUGGUUGCAGUAAUAUCUAAUAUACCUGUUGAGGUUGUUAAAGCUUUGAAGAAAGAAGAAAAUAAAAAAUCACCGGUAUAAAAAUUUAUUUCAUUCAAUUUUAUGUUACUUUGAUGAAAUGUUCAUACAUGCGUAUAUUUCAUGUUAUAUAAGAUGAUAAAAUGGUUGAUCAGGAACAAGGUCCCAAAGAAGGAUAAAAAAAAUAUGACAGUUCAUAUACGGAGGAUUUGUCGGUACUUUUUUGUCAAUAAUGUUGGUUUGUUACUACAAAUUUGUAUACCUCCCAUAUAUAAACCUGUUUUGUUUCAUUUUUUACAGCAUGCAGAUGAGGAAAAGGGACCAGUCGUUGAAAUCACAAAUGAUGAACCAUUUGUACUUUAAUCUGUAGAAACAGAUAUCCAAGCAUGUGUCUACACGUAUACUAAAUGUCCAACAACAAGUGACGGUCAAACUGAUCAGAAGGUAUAUUGAAUUAAUAUUUACGUAUGUAAAUGAUAAGUAUAACCAAUUGUAUAUAGCUAUUUUUAUGAAUAUACUUAUACAUAUGUAAUUAGUAAUAUAAUAAUAUUCCUGAAUCGCCUUAGACAUAUAUAAAUGUUAUUGGUUACCACUUGGGUUUUGUUGUGUAUGAAUGACCUUAUACAUAUAUAGGAUAUGUAUAUGUAGAUUUAUACAUUCAUAUGAAAGCCUUACAAAUAACAAAUUCUUAUCACUGGUAUAAAACUGUAUUUCAUUCAACUUUAUAUUACCCUUAAAAAAGGUUCACACAUGCUCAUUUUUAUAUUAUAUAGGAUGAGAAUAUGGUCGAUAAAGAAGAAGGUCGUGAAGAAGAAUUGAAAAACCAACACAGUCCUCAUAUGAAAGAUUUGUCGAUAUUUUUUGGCCACUCACGUUAGUUUUUUACUACAAAUCAUUCUAUAAACAUGUAGCAUCAUUUAUUGUUAGAAAAAUGGUCAUAAUGUUAUCGGCUGAAUAUCAAGAUUUUGGGAUCUUCAUGCUUCCAUAAUUUUUGACAUUGUUGUAAAGUCAUCUUCUAAAAUAGUAAUCAUGGUCUUGAUGAAAUUAGGGAGAUUAUGAUGUUUUGAUUACAUAUUCUUUGCUUUGUACAGUUAGAUAAGGGAAUUUAGUUAUGGUGUAUUUAAUUCAAACUGGGCAGUUUGUGUAAGGAUAUGAACUCAUUGUACUCAAAAUUAGGGGAUAUGUACUUGUGGUUUUAAUUCCAAGGAUAAAUGUUCCAUAUUACUAAUUCUGAAUAGAUAUGUAUGAAUAACAUUAUACAUACAUUGGUUUUGUAUAAUUAGAUAUGUAAUACUAAAGAGCUCAAAGAUGACAACAAAAAUUUCGGUGUCGAAAGAGUAGAGUCAACUUCAUAGACCCUCAGCUACAAAGGCUCAACACCUUUAGCCAAGAAUAUUCAUUAAAGCUCGUAUGUGACAUGACUUAAUUGGUAGAUACCCUUCCCAAUCUUAUAAAAGAUUUUGAAAAUUCAACUCUUUGUAGAAACACUUACUUUAAAUUAAUUUAUGCUAUAAUUUUUCCUUACAUCCACCAGCUCGGAGAGUCAAAGCAAGAAUCAAAAGAUGACAAACACUUGAAGAAGAUAGGAAUCGAAAAAUGACAAUAACAAGAGCUGAAGAACGAAGAAGUCAACACUGAUAAAUUUUAUCAAAAAUUAACAUUUUUUCUGUGGAUGCAAGUUAUCCUGAAGCCAACAAAAACCAACAAAAAUGCUAAUUAUUCACCAUAUUUCUUUUGUUUAAAGGAAUACAAGAAAUCCAAACACCCCAAGGCCGACAAGAAAGAGUCAGGAUGGUCAGGAGCUUAAAACAACUGAGUUUCCCAAAACUAACAGGCUUUUUGUGGAUGUAGGUAUCAUCAAACAUGGAAAGAAAAAUAAUGACUUACUUACAUCCAUAGAAAAUCAAGGAUGGAUGUUUGAAAUGGUAGGUGCAGAAGGUUCAAAAUGCUAGUGGAAUGGUCAAGGUAAUGUUUUCUAUAAUCGCUGCACGAUUAUUUGCAUUCCUCCUUAUCUUUCUACUGCAUCAUAUCAUGCCGAGAGGAACAUGCCAUGAGGGCCAUGCCGAGAGGGUCAUGCCAAGAGGGUCAUGCCGAGAGGGCCAUGCCAGGAGGUCCAUGUCGAGAGGUUCAUGCCGAGAGGGCCAUGCCGAGAGGGCCAUUCCAAAAGGAUCAUGUCGUAAGGGUCGUGUCCUGAAAAUCAUAUUACCUUCUCCGACUAGUUUCGAAGAGUCAACAAUCCAAGGGCUUAUCUAUAAGUCACAUUUUUUGAAAUAAGAUAGUGUGCAAGAUUAUCCACGAGUUAAAAUCCCAUGGGUCAUCCGUAAGCUACAACAAUAACCUAACCGGAUAGUGUGCAAGGUUACCCAAAGAUCGAAAUUUUAAAAGUUAUCCAUAAGUCACAACUAAAUCCUUACCGGAAAAUAUGCAAGAUUAUCAAAACUGAUAGGUCCAAGGGUUCUCUAUAAUCCGCGUCAUAUCCAAGAUCGAUUAUGCACAGAAUUACACAAAGACUACCAAUUUCAGAGACAUCUAUAAGUCAUACUGUAUCAAAGGUCGAAUAAUGUGUAGGAAUAUCUGAGAGCUAGAGAUUUGAGGGGUAUCUGUAAGUCAUCUCUUAUCCAGGGUCGGAUAAUGUGCAGGAUUGCUCAAAAGCUAAUAACUUAAAGGAUAUCUGUAAGUCGUCUCAUAUCCAACAUCAAAUAAUGCGCAAGAUUAUCCAAAGAUUGACAAUUCAAGGAAAAUCUAUAAGUCGUAUCGAUACGAGAGAUGUGCAAGAAUCCCGAAGUCAAAUACAAGAAGCAUUAUAGGUAACCAAAAUGGUUACCACAUCAGCAUAAAAUUACGUAAUUUCAGGGACCACUCUAUACAAAGUGUCAUCGGUUCCCAAGAGGGCCACCCCACUUUGAAGAAAAUUUUCAACCAUCAAAACAACCACUUUAUCCAACAACAAAAGGUUUAUUGUGUCGAUUAUCGCAAGAAUUAUCACACUCCAAACAGGUACAUAAGAGGAUGACGUCUUCGUCAGGUAGCAACUCACACAGAGAUAUAGUAAAAGGCUAUAAAUCCCUUAGUGAAUUAUGUUUAUCACUAACAAUUGUGUUUGAGAUGUUGUCGAGAGCAUCCGAAAAGGAUGAAAAUCUCAAACCAAAAUUAUAGUUGUGGACAACUCCAAAAAGGACACACUACAACGUGAAACUUUUUAUUAGUAGCGAACUGGGACAUAGUCCAAAGAGGAAUAUCAAACUCUUUGAACGCGAGCUAAAAGACGACUUCCACCACAGCCAAAUCACAUCCCUAUCAGAAGGCAUAGGGGUAUUUUAGAAUUUUUGUUUCAGAUUCACUCUCGAGAUAUUUUUAAACUUAUACCGAGGGUAAUCUUUUCUUCCCUUCAAAUCCUAGUGACAACACACUCAGAGUUUUUGAAAUUAUGUCCGAGUAAAAUCUUACCUAUGGAUGUGAAUAGCUCCACAUUCAUGGUUAAAAGAUUACAAGCCUCUUUUCUGCAACUCAAUCAGCUUGUCACACAUCCCAAACCAAAAAUUAUCUAAAAUAAAAGACUAUUUUUCUACCGAUUAAGUCGAACUACAAGCAGUCUAAUUCCCCGAGUCUCAGGGAUAUGUAGGCUGAGAUCUAUAUAGAAAAUUCGACCUCUCCCAAUCCGCUUAUUCUCGAACAUUCCGAUUUUACUAAAAUUCAAAACCAAAGUAGCUCGUGAAUACUUUGAAAAUCAUGCUUUAAACCAAGCUUUAUGAACUAAAAGUGGCAUGAAUUCUCAUGUAACCUGAGAUAUGUAGGAAACCUGAUACCAGGGUCCGUCCAUAACCCCAUAAAACUCAUGUGAAAACCAAUCUCUUCCAGAAAUGAAUUUAUGGUUGGACAAAAAUUAGAAAUGUCAAACUCACUUUGCCUAGGGUUACUUGCAUCCACCCUACCAAAAGGGAGGGGGCAGUUGUGGACACCUAAUUUUUGUCCUCCAUGACUAAGUUUGACCCCGAGUUUCUUCUCUUUUAAAUAAAAUUAUAACAUUUAUUUUAUCCGAAUAAAAAAAUUCUUUCAAGUAUUCUAGAUAAUUCAGUUAUCUUAAGUAACAAUUAUAUGUUUUCGUAUCCAUACAUACGAGAUUGUGUAAUUUUGUUACUCAAAUAAUUAUUUCACAAAAAUUAAAUUUUAAUCAAGGGUAAUCUUGAAAAUUGAUUCAAAUGGUUAAUAUCUUGAUUUAAUUAUAAUUUAGUCUUAAAAAUAAUUUAUUUUGAAAAAAUAUUUAUUUGAUUUUAUUAAAUCAAGAAGCUCAAAAUUAAAAUAAUUGUUAAUUUAUGUUGAAUUUUGAUUCAAUUUAGUUGAUUAAUUGAAUUUGGUCAUGAUUGAAAGUAAUUAGAUUACAAUUCUAAUGCAAUUGACAACCUAAAUUUUUAAUUUGGCUAGAUAUUAAAUUAAACUGACAAAAUUAAAAAAUACCCAAAAAAUAACCUAAUCUAUCCGACCACCCCUUUCUUUCAUUUGGGUUGGCCUGCCCAGCUGUGCAGUCCAACAGCAACCAACCCAUUAGACCAAAAUGCCCCCCAGUCGACCAACCUACUCUAAAAACCUUGACCCGGCCCACAACCCUUUUACCUUUCUUAUCCAUAUAAAAAAAAAAGACAACAACAACUUUCAACCUCCAGCGUACAAACAACAUCGACCAACGACUUCAAUACCAACAGUCCAGCGAAACCCAGCCACGAACAAUGCCGGCAACCCGUCAAAUCCGAAGAACCAACCAAUUCUGACAAAAAACCCGACUCCGACCCGAACCUGUUCGGCUUCAAAUCAAAUUUCAUUCAAUCCAACGACAACGACCCUUAAAUCAAAAAAAUCUCUCUCUUUUCAUCUUAUCUCUGAAUUUUGCAGACCUCGAACCUCGACAUUUGACUUUUGUUUAAGAUGGGUGUGCACUUUGCUCCAAAAUCUCAUCCAAAUCAAAAACAUCACAAUCAAUCCAAAUUUGUGGGAUAUGUUUUCACUCUUUUUAUCAAAUCCCUAACCACUUCCUGUCAGUAAAACAAACUCUAUUUUAAAUUUUAAUGGAGAUUUUUUUGAUAUAAAUAGGAGCAGAUGCUUUCAUUUGAAGGGAUUCUUAGAGGAAUUUUUGGAAAAAAAUUGGAGAGUUUGAAGGAGCGUUCCUUUAAUCCCACGUAAUCAAGAAUUUCAGAAGAAACUAUUUUAAAACUCAAUCCCGACGAAAAUUGAACUCUUGCAAAUCGGAGUCGAAAUUCCGGUGGUGAAAGCUCCGUCGUGAUAGGCUCUUCGAUCCUACUUUGCUUCCCCUAAAUAGGUAAACACCUUUUUCUUUCAGUUUUUGCUUCAUAAUUAUUUCCUUCCUAGCAUCAUCGUAAUCGUAAUUGCUGAGUCUGUUCGCUGUAGAAAUCUAGAAUUUUAUUGUAUUUUUAUCGUUGUGUCGAUAAUCUAGACUCCAAUGUGAAUAAAAUAGUGUGUAUUGAUUAAAUCUCGAAGAUCACUUCUUUACCUUGUGUUCGCUGUAUGUACGUUGUAUGUAACUAUUUUAGCUUUGGAUAAAAUACGUUGUCAUUGUGAAAUCUAUCCUUUAGCGAUCAGGUUCCAAUAUAAAUUGAGGGUGUACUACUUUUUUAUCUUCAAUUGGAAAAGUAUGUAGUAUAAUUUUACUUUGGCAUAAGAUGGAGUUGGUAUAGUUUAACGAACCCAUUUCCUAAAUAUUCACUUUAGACGUCUUAUGUUGAGUAUUUUACAAUAGUGAAAUCCUGGAAGUAAUAUAAAUAUUGUAGCAAUCCUUUCUAUAUCAACAGGUGGGGUUAAGGAUGUGCAUGUUUGUGACUAAUCUUUUGCUGCUAGUUUUCUUAUUUUCUGCUCUAUUCUUCUCUUUAUUGUAUAUGUAUGUUUAAAAAUUGAAAUGAGAUUUUUCAUGCAUUCUUUAUAUCUCCAGAAAGCAAAUAACCUUUGAAAUGGUUCUCCGGACCUAACAUGUCUACAGUUUGUCGUACUGUAAUGUUGACACUGUGAAAAGUUUGAAGAUCUAUGGAAUGUAAAUGCUAAGUUGUUAACAUUGGUCUCCUAGUUUUGUUUCAAUUCUCAUAGUAUCUUCUUUGGUGUUUGAAAUACCUAUUCUCCUAAUUUUGUUUCAAUUCUCAUAAUAUAUGCGUUGGUGUUUGAAUUAUAUGCAUUAAGCUUGAGUUCAUUCACUUUGGGAUAAAUUAUUUUGAACUUCGAAUAAAUAUUUUGAACUUUUUAGUAAGCUUUGAGUUCUUUCACUUUGGGUAAAUUCUCAUGGUAUCUUCUUUGGUGUUUGAAAUACCUAUUUUCCUUCGUUUUUGCACUUUGGAUAAAUUAUUUUGAACUUGUACUAAUUUGGUGUAUUUUCCUUGAUACACGCUAUUUCAUCGAGUCCAUUGGACUCCAUUCUCGCCCCUGGCAUUUAUGGGACCAAAUCCCACUUCUCCGAGUCAAAACUUCAUGCCGAAGUCCCAAAAAAUGAACCAAAGGACAAGAAACAAGGCCUAUAUAUAUCUGUAUACAGCUUAUAUACGUUGGAAACGGCAGCUGCACACUAUUACACCAUGCACAAUAAAAGAUGGAGGGGAAAUAAGCAGGUUUUCACGCUGAUAUAAACUGUAUAUGCAGUGAUAUACAGUAAAACGUGAAGAAAAUUGGGACUGGUAUACAUGUGAUAUACAUCUUGGAAAUGGAUCCAAAGUCCAUAAAAGAAUACAGCCCAAGGCUGGACAAAUCAUAAUGGGCCAAAAACCCAAUCUAAACUUCUUUUUAUUUACUAAAAAUUACAUAUAUACACAAACUAACUUUACCUUAUUACAACACAUCCCAUAUUAACAAACUAAUUACAUAAAUCCCAAACUUAUUACUAAAAUCCCCCUUUUUUUUUACUUUCUCUCUCAUUCCUCUUAUACAUAAAAAAAAACUAAAAAUUUUUUAUCAUUACUUUAUCUCUCUUUCCCAUAUUUAUUCCAUUUUUUUCUCCCAUUAAACAAUUCUUUACUUUUUUCCUCUUUCCCAUUUACUUUCUCUCUCUUUUUCAUAUUUGCACCAUUUUUUUCUUCCAUUAAACAACCGAUUAUUCCUCCAUUAUUGAAUACCCUUUUUCACGCUCAAAUUCAAGCAAUCACAUAUUUAGAGGUUACCAAUUUGUAAGUUAUCAAACAAUUAUUAAACUUAUAUGCUGAUUUUUUUCAAUAAUUUUUUUUCAACUUUACCAAAUCACAAUCUGGGUCGAUUUUUUAUUGCAUUUUUGUUUUUUAUGAAAUUAAUUGCUUUUGCAAAUCUAUUUUAAUGUGAUAGUUCAAUAAUAUCAUUUUUUUUUUCAUUUAUUAAAAGUCAGAUCUUUAUUUUUGUUUUGUUGCAUGUUGAUUUUUAUGAAAUUAUCUUAUUUUGCAAUCUCAUUCUAGUUUGUUAGUUGAUUUUUUCUGUAUUUUUUUUCAUAUAAUACAAGUAAGAUCUUUGAAUUUCUUAUUUGUAGUUGCGAUUACUUAAUCAAUACAGUAUAAAUUUGGUAAUGGAUUCUCGUCCUAGCUUUAGUUUAGGAUUUAGUCAGUUAGAUGCUCAAGAACAAAAUAUGUUCGUUGGUUUUGUUCCUGGCAUAUUUGAUAUUAUAUGUUUAUAUUAUUUGAUUAUACAUUACUUUAUGUUUUAGACUAAUGUAAAAUAUUAGGUUUCUGCUUUAUUUUCCAUUGUAUUAUACAAUAAGAAGAUGUACAUAGAAGAGGCAGUUAAAAAGAUUAUUGUAUAAGUUGACAUUAUUCAUUAAAGAAGAUUUUUUUAAAAUGUAUAAGUUACCAUCAUACAUAUCUGUCUGUAGUUUAAGUAUAUUCGAUAUUACAUUUGAGAUGUAUAAGUAUAUUUGAUAUUACAUUUUUUAAAUGUAUAUGCUACCAUCAUAUAUGCCAAUCAAAACGCACUUGAUGUUGAAUAUGUUCAAAACAUACCCCAGCAAGCAUCUGAAAGUUUGUAAGUAAAUUACAAUUUUUUAUAAUGUAUAACUAUGUUUAAAUUAAUGUACUUACUGUUACUUCAUUUUUAUUUUUAUUUUAAAUCAGGGACGACGUCUUUGUUGCUGCUUAUGCAGAAAUAUUAAGUGAAGGGCAUCAAGUGCAUUCAUGCGUGUUUGAUGCUGGAAGUCAACGCGCACGCUAUGCUUCAUUACUGUGGUAUUACGGAGUAGAAAAGACAAAUGAAGGGUACACGAGUGAUAAUGGCAAUCCUCCUCGGCCAAAGAAUAGUGUGCUCAAAGAAAUUGAUGAAAGUGCAAUUGUUACUUUAGAGUAGCAUUGUUUAAUAAAAGUCAAAAUGGAAUCAACUAAAUCUUAGUUUUGUGGUUGAUGUUAAACGAAUUCAAAGAUUACUUUCUAGAUGUUAAUUUACAUUUAUGGAUGUCUUCAUCUUAUGAGAAUAUAUUUUUUAGUCACUGAGACACUACUGCAAUGUUACUAACUGAUUCAUAGUACUUAUUGAAUUUCCCUUUCACUUAUUUUGUUAAUGAUUAAAACAACAUAUUACUAAUUAAUCUGACAUUGUAUUUUGAAAACAUAAUAUGUUUUCUGUUAUGUACCUUUGCUUAUAAGUGAAUCUUACAUUGAACUAAAGACUAAUACGUUUUGAAUGUAUGUAUUACAUAACAACAUAUAUGUUGUAAAACGCUUAUUACUUAUAAAAAAAUUACAGAAAUUGUUAAUACCGCACACAUGUAUAAUUUAUGAUGCAAUAUCAUACAUUGAUACGAAUGUAUAAUCAAAUAUUAUACAUUCGUAAGUCAACUGGAAUGGCACAGUAUCACUAUACGUUGCUUUGAAUGUAUAACAACUCAUUAUACAUUCAAACGUUUACUGGAAAGGCACACAUUUAUUAUACAUUGAUUUGACUGUAUAAAAACAUAUUAUACAUUCGUAAAUUUAUUGGAAUGAUACUGUGUAUAAUUUAAAAAAAAAAAUUCAGUUAAAUUUCGUUAUUGUAUUUCUAACCUCAUACAUGUUAAAAACGUAUAAUGCUAUAUCAUACAUUUAUUACACAUUAACUAUUAAUGUACAACAGUUUAAUACACCGUGCGUUUCAAUAAUUACUUACUCCUAUAGAGAGCAAGUUACAUAGUUAAUGUGCUUUUAUAAUCGUGUUCUCACUUCAAGUUAUAUGGUUACGAACUAUGAUAUAGGGAAAAAACUUGAAAUUUUUCAUACUAAUAUAAAUCAUUGAUUAAAGAAAUUAACAUCUAUAAUCAAUAAAAAAAUAUAAAUUACUUGCUCCAGCAUUCAGAAAAAAAUGAAUAAAAAAUAUUUAUACAAUCAAAACCAUUCAAAGUAUCCUCACAUAGAAAACCAUAUUAUAUUCUUCAUGAUUUCUUUGGAAAGAAAAUCGACUCGUCCGCAUUUACCAAAAUUACUAUUGCGUCACUUUUGUAUGACGUAUAACUAAUUUCUGACUUCCAAAUUUUAGAAUGUCACAACAAUAUGGGGAUAUUCAUAUUGAUUUUACUAGUAUUGAAGAACGUAUGUAGAAGAAGAUUUUAGUAGUUUUAGAGAACGGAUGUAGAAGAAAGUGGUUGUUUUUUAACUUUCCAGAUCGUGAAUCAUAGGAAAAAAAAUUAUGUAUAACAAAAUUUUUAAAAUUCAAAUAUCAGUUACAUGUUCUAUCAAUAAAUGACUUAAUGUUGGCUAAUUACUGCCUUUAAUUAAGGAACUGUAAAAUAAUUAAAGAUUCUCUUCCCUUAAAUAUAGCAUUAGCUGUUAUAUCAUACAUUCAACCAAUGUAUAAUAUGUGACCGAAUGUAUGAGUAUGUUUGCAAAAAAAAAGGAAGAGAGAAAACAAGAAGGGAUUUUGUGUAAUUAUUUUCAUUGUCUAGGGGAUUUUUGUUGUUUACACUUUAUUUAUUCAUUUCCUUUGUAAUUCAUUUGUGAUAUUUAUGAUUCUAACUUUAAUUGACUAAUUAAUCUAGAUAAAUCUCCUAAGGCAUUAUCAUUUUAUUUUAUCAUGGUUUUUGGUCAAUUCGUAAUUUUCUCACCUAACUUAUCUCGUCUAAAUCAAUUAAAGUAGUUCUUUCGAUUCUUCUUCCUAAAACUAAUCUUAAAAGAAAAAGAAAAAAAUUGUCAAGCAUUUUGUUUUUUUUAUAUGACGUUUGUCUUUUUCAUAUGACUAAUAGCCUACUUGGGUUAAAGCAAUUUUCUCCAAAUCAAAGAAAUCAAUUUUCUGGUGAUGUUUUUUAACUUCCCAUAAUCGAUAAAAUACUUUUAAAACGAUGUUCCUUUAACAUUCUCCAAAUGUGUUAUUUAUAGAAUAACGGAUCUUUUUUUAUAAUAACAAUAAUAAUAAAAAUAAAAAAUUAAUUAUGUAAUUUCUUUUUAAUCAUAAAAACACAAACUUAUUUCUUUCUUGAGUCUAAGUGUGCAACCUAGUUUAAGUGAGUUUCUCUUAAUUAAAACAUUCGUAAUUUUUCUUAAAAUAGUUGUGAGUUAAAUUAAAAUAUUCCUUGAUUUUUUUUCUUUCUCAAAUUCUAAUUUGUCGCGAUUAAUUAUGUAACGCCCCGGGAGUACACCCUGGACGCCACACGGUACUUGAAACCACAAGUGAUCUCAAGCUAACCCAUGAACUGACAUACUGUUAAGCCACUGAAUUAUUAUACAUUAAAUAACAAGUUCUGUUGUGCGAAAACAUAAUCAUACUGAAAAUCUGAAAUAGUAUGUAACUGAUAAAGUUUUACAAUCUGAUAAACCUGAAGGAAGAAACGAAAAUUACAUGACUAACUCUGACUGACAUCUAUGAAGCCUCUACUAUACUGAUUAUAGAUAGUUGGGACAUGCCUCCAACUACCACUAAUUAAUACAUAUGAAAAAUAAAUGAACUGUACAUAAACUAAAAUUGUCUGGACUUCCCGAAAUAAGAGAGCUCAUUACCUGCUGGCUAAAAACUACAACUGUCUGAUCAUGAUGCGUAGGCUAUAACUGAUACCUACAUUAUGAGACAAUGUAUCACAUAGACAUAUAUGUGGAUUAGUACUUCUGGAAUGUACUGAGUAUGCAGGGGUGAAUGCAAUAAGUGAAACUAGUUUCAUAUAAUCUUAAAACAUGAAUGACUAGGAGCAAGUAGACUUACCAAGAGACUGAAAUAAACUGAAAGCUGAAAUAUCUUAAAAUAUGAGUAAAAAAUAUAAUCUGAUAAGCUGGUGAAUCACUACACUAGUUUAUUAAAACUUUCCUUUUUACAAUAUAAGUAGAACUGAAGCUGGGAAAAGUGUAAAACAUGGGUACUGUAUGAAUACUGGGUCUGAAAUUAUGUGAUAGAGACUGACAUAAAAUAUACUAAGCUUAUCUGAUGCAUUGAAUAAUUGAUAGCUGAAUAUUGGUCAUAUAAGACUGAACUGUACUUAGUCUAAAAAACUGAACUGAAACUGUGUAGUACUAUGCAUAUGAGGUAAGGACUAUCUGAACAACAUGAGAUAACUGAGCAUGAAUGCAUGAAAACUGUAAUUUAUGAGAAUGCAAGACCAAGCAUAAAUUUGUAAUCUGAAAUAAGUUUGAAAUCUGAAAGACUAUAAACUUUAUAACUGAACAACUAAAAGUCUGUACACUUGAUCAAGAAAACCUGAAUUGAGAAUACACUGAAUGCUGACUGAGACUGUGGGAGGUAUCGUCUAACCGACAUGCUCUAAUUUGAGCUAAUUAGGGUCCAACCUGUAACCCCAGUUGGAAGAGCAUCAGUAUCGUGCCACGGUUACUAACACUAGCUGUGUGGAUUUACUAUGCUGAUGUACCGAAGGACCAGGGUGUCAAGCCUAAACUGACGGAUGACCCUUGAGAGGUAGUCAAUCCUAAACAGACGGGUGACUCCUCAUAUCCUACUUUGGCUACGUAGUCCUAGAAUACAGGGACUGCUACUAACGACUCUGCCUAACUGAUGGGGAAGCCACUAUUCUUGCAUUCACUCGGUGCUAAAUCCUAUUCCCAAUUGAACUGACACGAAUUACUGACUGGUGCAUGCACUGAUAACUAAUAACUGAUAAGCUCAGGUCAUCGUAUUCUAAAAUAACAGUGCACACGGAUUCUGAGGUAAUGAUUAAUAUGUACAUUGAUACUGAAACUGAAACUGGACUAAGCUAAGCUUAAUUGAACUCACAACUAACCAUAUUACUGACUGAAUGAUAUUGCUCACGGUAUAACUGAAAUCAUUCUGUAGAUACUGAAAAAUAGGUAAACAACUAAAUUUUGGGUAUUCAUAACCCCCAGUACUCGAUAACAAUAACAAUAGGACAUACUAAAGCUUCGGGAUAAUAAGUAGUCAAUAUUCAAAACCCAAUCAUUAGGGCAUUUCAUCAAACACUUGGGAAUCAUGAACUUGAACAUGAAAAUAUCUUAAACAUGGGAGCAUAGCAUGAUUACAUGACUAAGAUCAUGAAUUGGGGAAUUUACAUAAAAUUUUCUUGAAAUAUGACAUGGGAGUUUCAUCAAAACAUGUAAAGAUCAUAGCUUGAACAUAAGAAUGUCUUAAACAUGGGGGAACAAUAGAGUUACAUGGUAAAAUUCAUAACUUGGGGAUUCAUCUUGAAAUUGGUUGAACAUGAUAUGGAAAUUUCAUCAAACAUGUGGAAACCCUAAACAUGUGCAUGGGAAUGAGCAAGCAUGCAAAAAUAUCACGUCUAUACAAAUCAAUUCACAACUUAGGGAUUUGAUAGGAAGAUCAUAACAUUCAAAUUAUGUAUUGGCUCAUUCCACUUGAAAACACAUAUACUUUUAACUUAAAAUCAAACACAUGAGGAUCACGAGUUAAAAUAUGGGAGUAGUUAAACCAUGAAAAUCACAUAAUUUCAAUAUCAAAACAUAGGUUAAGCAUUUAACAUAUGAAAAUCACCAUUCGAACAUAUCAAGGCAAUUUCAACGAAAACCAUUUGUAAACAUGAUGCAUAAUCAAAAUUCAUGGAGGUUUCAUUGAUAUAAUUCAUAUUAAAAUGUAAAUAUCAUUGAACUUGAAAAUAGAUUUUUGGGCUCCAUGGGUGAAAGGGGACCCAUGGAUGAACUCCCACAUAUCUUAAUUAGAUGAUUUCUUGAAGAUUGUCGAACUUGGGAAACUUGAACUCUUGGAUUCUUGAAAGGAAAAAGCUUGAAAUUGAUCUUGGGAAAAGGGGAGGGUUUACAUGAGGUUUUGAUGAUGAAAAGUGGGCAAAUAAUUCCCUUUUGGAUGUAUUAAUUCGUGUUUGGACAACUGGGGUUAAGGGGAAUGGAUUAAACUGUCCCUUGGCCUUUUUUUUUUCCCGUGGAAAUCACCAUUGUGUCGUGACCCAUAGUUGGAUUAAGCAGCCCUCAUGACGCGGGGCUAUCGCGACCCCUUACUGCCUCUCACGAAAAAACCCAUAACUUUUUCACUCGGGUGUCGGACUAAGGCGAAAUUGGUAUCGUUGGAAAGCUAACUCAAUUAUCUACAAUCUAGUGGGUUUUGAGCUAAAAAAUUCCACGUACAUUAAAAGUUAUAUAUGUUCAAAGUAGACCCUUGUAGAAUCGAAUACAAAACUUUUGACGAAUCAAAGGCUCUUAGCUCAACUUUGUUCUAAGUGAUUCCUAUGAACAAUUUUCACUGUGAAAGAACUUCACAAACUAGGAUAAAUAUCAUGACACAUGAAUUCAAAAGUAAAUCAUGGGAUUAUAAUCUAUAUAUGUAAGAACGAUGGUUCAAAGUUUAGCUCGAAAAUGCGGGGUGUUACAAAUUAUGAAUUAAGUAAAAUAUUUCUCAGGUAGAAUAUUUUUUGUAAUAUUUCUCAAAAGUUAACCAUAAAUUAGGCGGAAUAUUUAAUAAUUCUUUAAUAUUGGAUUAAGUGAAACAUGAUGUAACUUUGUCUAACUCAAGUAGACUAUUUCUCAUUUGAAUAAACAAAUGCCAAUUUUAAACAUGUAAAUAAAUAUUUUUAACAUUUUAAAAAAUCAAUCUUUUUGUAAAGUUAGUCACCCUUAUGUUAGUUAGUCUAAAAAAUGAUCUUUUGGUGAACCGUUUAUCAAAUGUACGCUCCUAAGUGCCUUAAAAACACUCUUAGGGCGUUAAUUGAACCCUUACUCAGUUUCUCUAAUUUCAAAGAUUUAUUUAUAUUUUUGAAUCUUUGAAAUUUCUUUAAGUUUUCUUGAUAUUUUCUAUAAAAAUCAAGUGGAGACUCUCUAAAAUUUCUUUAAAAUUAUUUUGAUAGAUUUUCUUGAAUUUUGAAAUAGUUUUAAAAAGGUCCAAACCAUUUUCUCUCAAAUGAAACCCGAAAAAGGAUAAAACAGAUAUGACAACUCUGCUGGGGAUGUAUCUAGAUUCUAACCAAAAGUAAUUUUUCUAACUUGUUGUGGCUAAUUAUUACAUGUUUAUUUAUUUAAAUUUCAUAUAAACUGUCAUUCUGUUCAUAUUUCUUCCAUUUGAGAAAAUUGACACAGUCACACGUAUACGUACAUGUGAGGUGUGUUUCGCACACCUAUAAACUUCUUUCAAAUUCAAAAUUCUAGGAAUGUUGCCGUAUGUUCAGUGUGUACAGAUCUUUUUCUGUGUGACUGCGUAGUCUUCUCACUCGAGUUGUCCACUCAAAAACCUUUUGUCUAGUAAACCAAAUCUUAGAAGAACUUAAGAUGGAGCUUCCCCGAAUAUAGGUCAUGCAUGCAUAAGCCCUAGGUGUUUUGACUCAAGUUGUCAUUCUACUCAUUUGGGAAAUGCCCUUAUGUCAAAUGAGUUUACGACCCGACGACAACCGCUUAUAUUAUGUGCAUGUGAUAAUGAUAAACAGAUCCAAGCCUAAUUGUGAUAUUGCAAGUUUAGGAAACGUGUGCUUAUUUUAUCGUAUUUAUUUGUAGGAUGGAUUUAGUUUCCCAAGUGCCCAAGAUUAGAAUGGUCGAAGGUGUUCCACACAAGUUGAAGAUAUGGUGGAAAGAUUUCAACUCGAUUGAAAAAUUAGCGAUCACCAGAAAGUUGGAGUUCCUUCCUACACUGUUCAAGGUCUCCCCCGACAAGCUUGUGGUUAGAGCGUUAAUUCAAUUUUGGGAUCCAGAUCGAGUUGUCUUUGCAUUCAAAGACUUUGAACUUAGCCCCACAUUAGAGGAGAUCUAUUACUUCACUAAUUUAAAGUAUCAAGGGAGAGGUCAGAUCAUCCCGCACAGUCAGUCAGGGAGGAAAUUUCUUUGCUACUUGGGAUUAAAAAACACUGAUGAAUUUCGUUGCUUCAAAAAUAAUUGAGUUUCUUUGGAUUAUUUUUAUGAGAGAUACGGUCGUCAAGAUAAUUAUAAGGUAUUCAAGAAGGGGUUCGCUUGCACUUCUACCCAUUGGUAGGUUAGACGUCCGAUUGCAUUUGCCGUUGCCUUGCUAGGAACUUUGGUAUUUUCAUAAAAAUAUGGAAAGAUCAGUACUUGCAUAUAUUCUGUGGCUUGAGCACUUUUUAAAGGAGUUGAUGGCAGAGAAAUCAACUUGGUUCCUAUAAUCUUGGCAAAAAUAUUUUGCGCACUUGAAAAGUGUAAAAGAGGUGAAACACGGUUCUUUGAAGGUUGCAAUCUCCUUCUGCAGAUAUGGGCAAAAGAGCAUUUCUACAAGCGUGACAAUAUGACUAACGUAAUUUUUAGCGCUUCACAUAAGAUUGACACUCAUGAUGAUAGAAUGAAGAGGUUCAUUUCCCUAGUUGGCAUCGACGAUUGGUUUGAAUUCCUAGCCUCUCAUACCAGUGACCAAAUCCAGUGGAGAUACCCAAUACUGUCAUGUCCCACGGCUUACAUACGAUGCAGAGGACUUUAUUAUAUUGAGCUUAUCAAGUUAAGAGGUAUACAACCAUAUGCCCUGGUGUAUGUACUCCGACAGUUUGGUCAGACACAGAUCAUUCCUCUCUGAGAAAAUAUCCGAGUUUCGAAGGUCCUUUUUGGACCAGACUUUAGAGUUCCUAGGGCCAAUCAAAUUCUGCAUGAAUGCAGUAACAUUCUCACAAUAUAUGUGAGACGCGGACCAACAAAGUGCAUGUCAGAAUACCAGAUAUGGAUUUGAGAAUAUCGUGGCAAUAUAAAACUCAGUCCAGAAGGGGAACAAGGUUUUAAGGAUGUUGGGAUGACUAUUUGGAUAAGGCAUUUUCAUCUUGGAACCACAAUGGUCACUCCUGAAAUAUGGGCUCAAAUGUCCAUCAUAAUGCAGUAUUUGGAAAAUGCGGGAGCAGGACCCAGCAAUGUUGAGGCAUCAUCUUCACGUCCUCCACCAACAUGAUCUGAAAUAGGGUCUAGGCUAAGUUUUAGUACUGUACUUUUCAUGUAUUUUGAUCUUAUUUCUUAUCAUUGUACUCGAUUAAUAUUUCAAUGAAACUUGUCACUUUUAUUUCCAAACUCAAAGUUUGUCUCAAAUUAAUGGGUUGGAUCAAUUUAUCAUAAUAUCAAUUACUUGACGCUAGGCCAACCUUUGGCUCAAAAGUGUCACCCAACUAGGACACGUUAUUUAAUAUUCUAUUGUUGUGUGCUAUAACUGUCUUAUGUGGUAUAACUGUUUUAUGUACUUAUGUGCGUUGUUGAAUCAAAGGUGAAUUGAUCUACUCUUCAACAAGGUUUUAGAAACCCUCUAGGCAGAAAUGUACGCUUACUAUCCAAAGUCCGCCCAAAAUAUUCCAGGUCUUUAAGUCUCCCAGAAAGACCUUAACCAUCCUCGUUAAUUUGAACUAUGUAUGGCCUGAUUUCUCCUUUGUGAGAUACGUAGGCAGCCUUUUGGUCCGACCUCUAUCAUUUAAAAUCGUUAUGUCUCAUUUUAUCAAAGAAAGUCAUAUGAGUUCAAAAAUUAGAAAACUUGGCAAAAACUUGUUAAGACACAUAUAUCCAAAAAUCAAUAGACAAAAUCUUGCCCGUUAAUUUCUUUCGAGUUGAUACCCACCCAUGGAUCAAUUUACCUACGAUGAAAGCAACUUUAUGUGUUUACUUUAUGUCAGAUAUCUUGCAUUAUUUAUUACUAAUCGAAUCUAACAUAUUUACCUUUGGAGUUAUUUUACCAAGUAAUCAAGUAAGUAGAAAUUGAUCUGUGUUGACAAAACUGGCUAAACAUCAAUACUUCCCUAGAUAUAAGGCAAAUAAAAAUUCCUCCCUCGACCAUCACUUAACUGAAGAGGAAAAAAUGACUGGUAGUAGUGAUGAUAAUGCUCUUACCGAAAUUACUGUUAGGGACAGUGUGAUAAUGGCACAAGGAGAGAUGAUCUCUGAACUAACUAGGAGAAUGGAGGAGCUUCAAGAAGAAGUACAACGAGCAAAAAAUAUGGCUAAUCUGGCCAUUUCUGCUAAUACGUUAGUCUUGGAUACCCAUGCACUUUCACUUCGAUUUCCCUCUUUUAGCUCUCCUAAUAAUAGAAACCAACCAAAUGACAUACCUUCCGCUUCUAUGCCUAGACCUCCCACUAAUCCCAUCAAUCUGCUAUGUCAAACCCAUAUCCCUCCUACUCACAAUACCAACCAAGAAAAUAAUCCAAAUGCUUACCACCCUUAAAAUUUUACUUAAAAUUACCAAAAUACCUCCAUAAAUGCCUUCACUUCCUAAAAUACCCACCCCACUUUAGUCACAAUACCAACGUUCCCCAAAAUCUAGUCCCCAUAUACCAAAACUUCACUCACACCACUCUAAAUCCUUCGAUGACCCAAAAUAUGUCUCCCGUCACCAUCCAUGCUACUGUAAUACCUACCUCUUACUAUAAAUUCCCCUUAAAUCUAGAAAUUGAACACUAUAAGGAGACGAAGAAGGAGCGUAAGGUGAUCGAAGACAAACACGUUAGGGAGCUACUACUGAUAAAGGAAGAGAUCGCCAAGAUGAAGAAAACACAUGGUUCACCCAAUGCAGUAGGGUUCAGUUAUGAUGACCUUUGCAUUCACCCUAACUUGAACCUACCCGAAGGAUUUAAAGUCCCUAAGUUUGAGAUAUUCAAUGGUACUGGAAACCCUACGACCCACUUGAGAGGAUAUUGUGACAAAAUGGUAGGCGCUGGUAGAAAUGAGGCAUUGCUGAUGAGGCUCUUCAGUCAAAGCCUAAGUGGAGAAGUAUUAGAGUGGUUUACCCAACUCCAUUGCCAAAUUAUCAGACCACCUACCAAGCUCCACUCCCAAGCUUCCAAGCUUACCAAAAAGCUCUAGUUAACCACAAUUACCAUUAGGUCCUUCCUCCCGCCUACCAAAAUCUUCAUUAUCCAAAUAGCGAAAAGAAUGUCACUAGAAAUUUCACUGUUUUAGUUGAAACCAGAACUCAGCUGUUUGAAAGGCUUAAGAAAGCAAAUCUCAUCCAACUUGUCCUACCAAAACCCGCUAAUACCAAUUCUCAAUUUUCUCAUGCUGAUCAACAUUAUGCAUAUCAUUCAGGAGGUGCUGGACACACAACUGAGGACUGUAUUAAUUUGAAGCACAAGAUUCAAGAUUUAAUUUACCAAAAGGUGAUCUCACUUCAAACAGUGCCGCCAAUUGUUACCAGUAACCCACUUCCAAACCAUGAAGGGGAAACUAUCAAUAUAAUAGAAAUAGAUAAUGAGUAGGUGGUGAGCAAGUCUAUAACACAGGCUAGCCCAGAUGAGAUAGAUAAAGUGAAAGAUAUAGAAAGGACAGUGGCUGCCUUAAGUGUUAUCGAGAAGCCUAAGUUUGUUGCAUUCAUCGUACUUCAUCAAGCCUUUGCCUUAGUUCCCACAAUAAAAGAAUUUAUGGUGGAAGCCGCUGCCACACAAGGAAUGACUAGAUCAGGGAGAUGCUAUACUCCAGAGGAGCUUGCCAAUGAUGCAUACAAAAAAGUGCUCUAAAGAGGUCAAUUACUAAAGAGAAAGCCGAAGAAUUUUGGAGAAAAAUACAGCCAAAAGAGUACUCUAUUGUAAAAUAUUUAAAAAAGACCCCUGCUAAGAUUUCUAUUUGGGCAUUGCUUAUGGGUUCUCAGUAUCAUAGAAAAGCUUUGAUGAAGGUCCUUAAAGAAGCCCAUGUGCCUGUAGGCACAAGCACCAAAAAUUUGGUGGCCAUAAUCAGUAGAGUUGUGGGAUCCCAUCCAUUAGCUUUGGUGGAGACAAGUUACCUUUUGAAGGAGUGAUGCAUAACAAGGCAUUGCAUAUCACUGCCAAAUGCCAAGAUAAGAUCGUUAACAGGGUUUUAAUUGAUGAUGGAUCAGGCCUGAAUAUCUGUCCAUUGUCUAUUUUGAUUCAUUAAAACUAUGAUAUAGGGAAAAUGCAUCAGAACAUGAUAAAUGUAAGAGCUUUUGAUGAGGGUCAAAGAAACAUCACUGAGGAAGUCAAGUUUCACCUUCAAAUGGGGCCUGUGGAAUUCUUAGUUGAGUUUCAGGUGAUGGAUAUUUCCACAAGUUAUAAUUUGCUCUUAGGAAGGCCUUGGAUUUAUGCAACGGGGGCCGUUUUUUCAACGUUACACCAAUCAAUGAAAUUUGUGCGGGAAAAUGAUGAAGUGGCCAUCCAUGGUGAAGGAAACCGUAUGAGUCACCCUAAUAGUUGUGUUCCUGUGAUUGAAGAAGUCCCGAAAGAGAGUGAAUUUUAUAUAGUGGAGAUCUUGAAUACAGCUGAGAAAGACCCAACUUCUUGCGAGCCAAUGCCUUCAGAUCUGAGUUUGAAAAUCAAGGAGGAAGUUACCAAGCAGAUCCAAGACAACGUGGUUGAGGUCACGAAAUAUCCAACAUAGCUAGCCAAUAUUGUUCCAGUACCGAAGAAGAAUGGAAAGGUUAGGAUUUGUGUCGAUUAUAGGGACUUAAACAAAGCUAGUCCUAAAGAUAACUUUCCAUUACCCAACAUCCAUAUUCUCAUCGACAACUGUGCAAAUCAUGAAAUACGUCAUUCGUGGAUUGAUUUUUCGGAUACCAUCAACUACUGAUGGACAAGGAAGAUGCAGAGAAAAUAGCCUUCAUCACACCCUGGGUGUUUAUCACUAUAAGGUGAUGCCCUUGGUCUCAAGAAUGCUGGUGCUACAUAUAUGAGGGCCAUAAUAACCAUAUUUCAUGAUAUGAUCCAUAGAGAGAUUAAAGUGUAUGUAGAUGAUAUGAUCAUCAAAUCUCGCAAGAGUUCAGACCACUUGGCUCUUUUGGGUAAAUUCUUCGAUCAGUUGCGAAAGUACAAUUUGAGGUUGAACCCUGCUAAAUGUGCUUUUAGGGUGCCGGUUGGGAAGCUGUUAGGUUUCAUAGUUAGUAGAAGGGGCAUUGAGCUCGACCCCUCAAAAAUUAAUGCGAUCUAAGAACUGCCUCCUCCGAAGAUGAAGAAGAAAGUCAUUAGCUUCUUAGGGAGAUUGAAUUACAUCAGCAGGUUCAUAUCCCAGUCAACGGUUAUUUAUGAGCCAAUCCUCAAGAUGUUAAAGAAAGAUACAACAAGUAAAUUGACUGAGGAAUGCCAACGAGCUUUUGAUAAAAUCAAGGAUUAUCUGUCUAGUUUGUCGGUACUAGUUUCUCCAAGAGAAGGAAGUCCUAUAUUGUUGUAUCUAUUGGUUUCUGACAAUUCAUUUGGAUGUGUCUUAGGGCAACAUGAUGAAACUGGAGGAAAGAAAGAGCAAUUUAUUACUUGAGUAAGCAGUUCACUUUAUAUGAGGCUCGUUACAUGCUAUUGGAAAGAACGUGUUAUGUAUUGAAUUGGGUUGCCCAGAAGAUGAGACAUUACUUGACAUCCUAUAUAAUAUAUCUCAUCUCCAGAAUGGAUCCUCUGAAGUACAUAUUCCAAAAUACCAUGCCUACAGGAAAAUUGGCCAAAUGGCAAAUGCUAUUGAGUGAGUUCGACAUUGUAUGCGUGACUCAAAAGGCGAUCAAAGGGAAGGCCCUAACGGAUCAUCUAGUAGAAAAUCCAAUUGAUGAAGAGUAUGAGCCACUCCAAACUUAUUUCUCAGAGGAAGAGGUAUUGUUCGUAGGGGAGGACAUUUCCAAAAUAUACUCGGGCUGGAGAUUAUUCUUUGAUGGGGUGGUUAAUUUCAAGGGUUCGGGAAUUGGAGUAGUCUUAAUAUCAGAAAAUGGUCAACAUUAUCCAGUUACCACCAAGAUGCGCUUCCCAUGCACCAAUAAUAUUUUUGAAUAUGAGGCUUGUAUUCUCGGUCUUAGACUGGCUAUUGAUAUGAAUAUUUGAGAGCUACUAGUCAUUGGAGAUUCUAAUCUAUUAGUUCACCAGGUUCGGGGUGAAUGGGCCAUAAAGAACCCUAAAAUCAUGCUAUACGUGGAAUUGGUACAUAAGUUACGCAGAAGAUUCAAGGAAGUAGAAUUCAAGCAUAUUCCAAGAAUAAAAAAAUGUGUUUGCUGAUGCUUUGACCACUAUACUCUCCAUGAUUCAGCAUCCUGAUCAAAUUUACAUUGAUCUAUUGGAAAUAAGUGUGAAGGAGCAACCUGCAUAUUGUGCACAAGUUGAUGCAGAACCAGACGGAAAGCCAUGGUACUUUGAUAUCAAGAGGUAUUUGGAAACCAGAGCAUACCCAGAAGAUUCAAUCGUCAAUCAGAAGAAAAUGAUCCGUCGUAUGGUCGAUAAUUUAUUUUGAAUGGGGAAAUCCUUUACAAGAGGACCUCGUACUUGGGAUUGCUGCGAUGUGUAGAUUCCAUUAAAGCUACAAAAUUAAUUGAAGAAAUUCACGCCGAAACAUAUAGACCUCGUAUGAAUGGAUUUAUUCUAGCCAAGAAAAUCCAGAGAGCCGGCUAUUUUUGGAUGACUAUGGAAAGUGACUAUAGCAAGUUUGUGCAAAAUUUAUAAGUGCCAGAUACAUGGGAAUCUGAUUCAGGUGCCCCCACACGAACUUAAUGUUAUGAGCUUGCCCUGGCCGUUUGUAGUUUGGGGCAUGGAUGUCAUCGGCCUGAUUGAGCUACCAACUUCCAAUGGAUAUAGAUUUAUUUUAGUUGCUAUCGAUUACUUUACCAAGUGGGUAGAAACUGCCUCAUAUUAAGCGGUAACCAAGAAGGUGGUAGUAGAUUUUUUCAAGAACAACUUGAUUUGCCGAUUCGGGAUACCUGAAUCAAUCAUCACAGAUAAUGGAGCAAACUUGAAUAGUCAUCUGAUGAUAGAGAUAUAUGAAUAAUUCAAGAUCCUUGAUCAAAACUUAACCACAUAUUUCCCUCAAAUGAAUAGAGCGGUAGAAGCUUCCAACAAGAACAUCAAUAAAAUCUUAAGAAAGAUGGUUAAUAGUCAUCGAUUAUGGAACGAUAUGCUACCUUAUGCCUUGUUGGGAUAUCGCACGACAGUCAGAACUUUGACUGGGGAAACUCCUUUUGCGUUAGUCUAUGGGACAUAAGUAGUGAUACCUGCUGAAGUUGAAAUACCAUCUUUAAGAAUAAUCCAAGAAGCAGGAUUGAGUAAUAAAGAAUGGGUCUGCGCCCGUCAUGAACAACUUAUGAUGAUUGAUGAAAAAAUAUAAGUGUUAUAUGCCAUGGCCAACUAUAUCAAUAACGUGAUUCGUGGUUUCAAUAAACGAGUAAGAGCUCGCACAUUUGAAGUUGGACAAUUGAUGAUCAAAUGCAUAUUCCCUCACCAAGAGGAGUAUAAAAGAAUGUUCGCUCCAAAUUGGCAGGGGCCAUAUGUAGUCUGAAAAGUGUUAUCAGGAGGAGCCUUGAUUUUGUCUGAAAUGGAUGGCCAAGGGUGCACCAACCCAACUAAUUCUGAUGCAGUAAAGAGAUACUAUGUCAGAUGUGGGGUUUCUUUAUGCUUAUUUCCUUGUAAUUGCUUUUCUCAUUUGUAAUCGUUCUUAUGCUUUGUAGUAGAUUUAAAAUUUUCCCUCCUUUUAUGUAUAAACUGCGUUUGACCUGAAUUUCCGAGAAGAGGAUACGUAGGCAGCCUACGUCGGCUUAGGUCAACCAUUUAGAAAUUUUAUUUAUGCUCUCUUGAACUACAUGAUGACCUGAAUUCCCAAGGACGGGAUACGUAGGUGGCCAUAUCGGCUUUGGUCACCCUUUUAACUAUAUUUUAUUUUCUUACAUUGUGGGAACUACAUUUGACCUGAUUCCUGUUUAAUGGGAUACAUAGGUGACACAACGACUCAGUCAUAUCACCCCAGAAAAUGAAAAUUGGGGCAGAAUUUUUGUGAAGGAAUCUCAAAAAAUUCAAAAGAAGAAGAUCAUCCUCUUGCAAGCCAAAUUGAAUUUUGAGAGAGAUAUAAGUAAAUGGGUAGAAAUUUUAAGGCAGACCUUAAAAUUUCCACCAUACUGUACUAAAGAACUCAAAGAUGACAACAAAGAUUUCGGUGUCGAAAGAGUAGAGUCAACUUCAUAGACCCUCAGCUACAAAGGCUCAAUACCUUUAGCCAAGAAUAUUCAUUAAAGCUCGUAUGUGACAUGACUUAAUUGGAAGAUACCCUUCCCAAUCUUAUAAAAGAUUUUGAAAAUUCAACUAUUUGUAGAAACACUUACUUUAAAUUAAUUUAUGCUAUAAUUUUUCCUUACAUCCACCAGCUCGGGGAGUCAAAGCAGGAAUCAAAAGAUGACAAACACCUGAAGAAGAUAGGAAUCGAAAAAUGACAAUGACAAGAGCUGAAGACCGAAGAAGUCAACACUGAUAAAUUUUAUCAAAAAUUAACAAUUUUUCUAUGGAUGCAGGUUAUCCUGAAGCCAACAAAAACCAACAAAAAUGCUAAUUAUUCACUAUAUUUCUUUUGUUUUAAGGAAUACAAGAAAGACAAACACCCAAAGUCUGACAAGAAAGAGUCAGGAUGGUCAGGAGCUGAAAACAACUGAGUUUCCCAAAACUAACAGGCUUUCUGUGGUUGCCGGUAUCAUUAAACAUGGAAAGAGAAAUAUGACUUACUUACAUCCCCAACAAAUCAAGGAUGGAUGUUUGAAAUGGUAGGUGCAGAAGGUUCAAAAUGCUAGUGGAAUGGUCAAGGUAAUGUUUUCUACAAUCGCUGCACGAUUAUUUGCAUUCCUCCUUAUCUUUCUACUGCAUCAUAUCAUGCCGAGAGGAACAUGCCAUGAGGGACAUGCCAAGAGGGUCAUGCCAUGAGGGACAUGCCAAGAGGGUCAUGCCAAGAGGGUCAUGCCGAGAGGGCCAUGCCAAGAGGUCCAUAUCAAGAGGUCCAUGCCGAGAGGGCCAUGCCAUAAGGGCAAUAUCGAGAGGGCCAUUCCAAAAGGAUCAUGUCGUAAGGGUCGUGUCCUAAAAAUCAUAUUGCCUUCACCGAUUAGUUUCGUAGAGACAGCAAUCCAAGGGCUUAUCUGUAAGUCACAUUUUUUGAAAUAAGAUAGAGUGCAAGAUUAUCCACGAGUUGAAAACCCAUGGGUCAUCUGUAAGCUGCAGCAAUAUCCUAACCGGACAGUGUGCAAGGUUACCCAAACAUCGAAAUUUUAAAAGUUAUCCAUAAGUCACAACUAAAUCCUUACCGAAAAAUAUGCAAGAUUAUCGAAACUAAUAGGUCCAAGGGUUCUCUAUAAUCCGCGUCAUAUCCAAGAUCGAUUAUGCACAGGAUUACCCAAAGACUACCAAUUUCAGAGACAUCUAUAAGUCAUACUGUAUCAAAGGUCGAAUAAUGUGUAGGAAUAUCUGAUAGCUAGAGAUUUGAGGGAUAUCUGUAAGUCAUCUCUUAUCCAGGGUCGGAUAAUGUGCAGGAUUGCUCAAAAGCUAAUAACUUAAAGGAUAUCUGUAAGUCGUCUCAUAUCCAACAUCAAAUAAUGCGCAAGAUUAUCCAAAGAUUGACAAUUCAAGGAAAAUCUAUAAGUCGUAUCGAUACGAGAGAUGUGCAAGAAUCCCGAAGUCAAAUACAAGAAGCAUUAUAGGUAACCAAAAAGGUUACCACAUCAGCAUAAAAUUACGCAAUUUCAGGGACCACUCUAUACAAAGUGUCGUCGGUGCCCAAGAGGGCCACCCCACUUUGAAGAAAAUUUUCAACCAUCAAAACAAACACUUUAUCUAACAACAAAAGGUUUAUUGUGUCGAUUAUCACAAGAAUUAUCACACUCUAAACAGGUACAUAAGAGGAUGACGUCUUCGUCAGGUAGCAACUCACACAGAGAUAUAGUAAAAGGCUAUAAAUCCCUUAGUGAAUUAUGUUUAUCACUAACAAUUUUGUUUGAGAUGUUGUCGAGAGCAUCCGAAAAGGAUGAAAAUAUCAAACCAAAAUUAUAGGUGCGGACGACUCCAAAAAGGACGCACUACAAUGUGGAACUUUUUCUUAGCAGCGAACUGGAACAUAGUACAAAGAGGAAUAUCAAACUCUUUGAACGCGAGCUAAAAGACGACUUCCACCACAACCAAACCACAUCCCUAUCAGAAGGCAUAGGGGUAUUUUAGAAUUUUUAUUUUAGAUUCACUCUCGAGAUAUUUUUAAACUCAUACCGAGGGUAAUCUUUUCUUCCCUUCAAAUCUAGUGACAACACACUCAGAGUUUUUGAAAUUAUGUCCGAGUAAAAUCUUACCUAUGGAUGUGAAUAGCUCCAUAUUCAUGGUUAAGAGAUUACAAGCCUCUUUUCUGCAACUCAAUCAGCUUGUCACACAUCCCAAGCCAAAAAUUAUCUAAAAUAAAAGACUAUUUUUCUACCGAUUGAGCCGAACUACAAGCAGUCUGAUUCCCUGAGUCUCAGGGAUAUGUACGCUGAAAUCUAUAUAGAAAAUUCGACUGCAUUUCAACCUCUCCCAAUCCGCUUAUUCUCCAGCAUUCCGAUUUUACUAAAAUUCAAAACCAAAGUAGUUCGUGAAUACUUUGAAAAUCAUGCUUUAAACCAAGCUUUAUGAACUAAAAGAGGCAUGAAUUCUCAUGUAAACUGAGAUAUGUAGGAAACCUGAUACCAGAGUCCGGCCAUAACCCCAUAAAACUCAUGUGAAAACCAAUCUCUUCCAGAAAUGAAUUUAUGGUUGGACAAAAAUUAGAAAUGUCAAACUCACUUUGCCUAGGGUUACUUGCAUCCACCCUACCCAAAGGGAGGGGGCAGUUGUUGACACCUAAUUUUUGCCCUCCACGACUAAGUUUGACCCUGAGUUUCUUCUCUUUUAAAUAAAAUUAUAACAUUUAUUUUAUCCAAAUAAAAAAAUUCUUUCAAGUAUUCAUCUAGAUAAUUCAGUUAUCUUAAGUAACAAUUAUAUGUUUUUGUAUCCAUACAUACGAGAUUGUGUAAUUUUGUUACUCAAAUAAUUAUUUCACAAAAAUUAAAUUUUAAUCAAGGGUUAUCUUGAAAAUUGAUUCAAAUGGUUAAUAUCUUGAUUUAAAUAUAAUUUAGUCUUAAAAAUAUUUUGAAAAAAUAUUUAUUUGAUUUUAUUAAAUCAAGAAGCUCAAAAUUAAACUAAUUGUUAAUUUAUUUUGAAUUUUGAUUCAAUUUAGUCGAUUAAUUGAAUUUGGUCAUAAUUGAAAUUAAUUAGAUUACAAUUCUAAUGCAAUUGACAACCUAAAUUUUUAAUUUGGCUAGCUAUUAAAUUAAAUUGACAAAAUUAAAAAUACCCAAAAAAUAACCUAAUCUAUCUGACCACCCCUUUCAUUCAUUUGGGCUGGCCUGCCCAGCUGUGCAGUCCAACAGCAACCAACCCAUCAGACCAAAAUGCCCCCCAGUCGACUAGCCCACUCUAAAAACCUUAACCCGACCCAUAACCCUUUAACCUUUCUUAUCCACAUAAAAAAACAAACGACAACAACAGCUUUCAACCUCUAGCGUACAAACAACAUCGACCAACGACUUUAAUACCAACAGACCAGCAAAACCCAGCCACGAACAAUGCCGGCAACCCGUCAAAUCCGACGAACCAACCAAUUCCGACAAAAAACCUGACUCUGACCCGAACCCGUUCGGCUUCAAAUCGAAUCUCAUUCAAUCCAACGACAAUGACCCUCAAAUCAAAAAAAUCUCUCUUUUCAUCUUAUCUCUGAAUUUUGCAGACCUCGAACCUCGACAUUUGACUUUUGUUCAAGAUGGGUGUGCACUUUGCUCCAAAAUCUCAUCCAAAUUAGAAGCAUCACAAUCAAUCCAAAUUUGUGGGAUAUGUUUUCACUCUUUUUGUCAAAUCCCCAACCACUUCCUGUCACUAAAACAGACUCUAUUUUAAAUUUUAAUGGAGAUUUUUUUGAUAUAAAUAGGAGCGGAUGCUUUCAUUUGAAGGGAUUCUUAGGGGAAUAUUUGGAAAAAAAUUGGAGAGUUUGAAGGAGCGUUCCUUUAAUCCCACGUAAUCAAGAAUUUCAGAAGAAACUAUUUUAAAACUCGAUCCCAGCGAAAAUUGAACUCCUACAAAUUGGAUUCGAAAGUCCGGUGGUGAAAGCUCCGUCGUGAUAGGCUCUUCUGUCCUAGUUUGCUUCCCC
rnacentral:lncRNA from 1 species